rnacentral:sRNA from 1 species
UUCUCGGCAGUCCUCCUGGGCUGGGGCUCGCUGCUCAUCAUGCUCAAGUCGGAGGGCUUUUACUCCUACCUGUGUACCGAGCCAGAGAACGUCACCAAUGGCACAGUGGGCAGCACAGCAGAACCGGGGCACGAGGAGGCGAGCUGGAUGAACGGCUGGCUCAGCUGCCAGGCCCAGGACGAGAUGCUAAAUUUGGCCUUCACUGUGGGCUCCUUUCUGCUCAGUGCCAUCACCCUGCCCCUGGGUAUCGUCAUGGACAAGUAUGGCCCGAGGAAGCUCAGGCUGCUGGGCAGGUCAGUGCGGGUCCCUUAGGGGGCAGGGAGUGGGCAGGUGGACCCCCUGGGCUGAGUUCCCCACAGAAGGGUAUCCUGGUGUACCUGAUAUCAGGUGUACUGUGGAGCUCCCUGAAGGCCCUCCAGAAUGGAGUUCCUACCCCGUCCGCCACCGAAUCAGCAGGUACUGUGGUCCUCGCCAUGCUCCGGUACCGA